UUCACUCUCUUAUCUUGCUCUUUUAGGGCAUCACGUAUGACCACCUCGAGCUGAACUUUUAUCUUAACGGAACAGAUUUACAUGUCCCUGUGACAGGUGUCAAAGGAGAAGUUUUUCCUGUUCUUUACGUUGAUGACGGAGCCAUCUUGGAUGCGGUGUUCUCUUCUUUCUUCCACACUCCACCCUUGGGCUUCGAGCAAAUCAUGGUGGAACAGUCUUUACUGUGAAAAACUCAUCUGUGUGCAGACCAUCACUGGCACCUCGUAGUGCACUCGUGUUAGUGUUGCUCCGCGGAGCGAACCUGCUGCCAUCUACGCCCGAGUGUGCAAAGUUCUCUGCCACUGAGCUGUCAUCACAAAGUCACUCUAUAGCCCAGCUCAUUCUUCAAUGCUUGCUAAAGCAUAUCACGUUUCAUGUGACAUAC
rnacentral:lncRNA from 1 species